AGUGAACGCUGGCGGUAGGCCUAACACAUGCAAGUCGAACGGCAGCACAGUAAGAGCUUGCUCUUACGGGUGGCGAGUGGCGGACGGGUGAGGAAUACAUCGGAAUCUACUUUUUCGUGGGGGAUAACGUAGGGAAACUUACGCUAAUACCGCAUACGACCUACGGGUGAAAGCAGGGGAUCUUCGGACCUUGCGCGAUUCAAUGUGCCGAUGUCGGAUUAGCUAGUUGGCGGGGUAAAGGCCCACCAAGGCGACGAUCCGUAGCUGGUCUGAGAGGAUGAUCAGCCACACUGGAACUGAGACACGGUCCAGACUCCUACGGGAGGCAGAAGUGGGGAAUAUUGGACAAUGGGCGCAGGCCUGAUCCAGCCAUACCGCGUGGGUGAGGAAGGCCUUCGGGUUGUAAAGCCCUUUUGUUGGGAAAGAAAAGCAGAAGGUUAAUACCCCGCUGUUCUGACGGUACCCAAAGAAUAAGCACCGGCUAACUUCGUG
rnacentral:rRNA from 1 species